rnacentral:lncRNA from 1 species
CUUCUUUUUAUUCCAAUGUUUCUGUUCUUUGGAUCUUUAAUUUCAAUCUCAAGAUUGUUUUUGUUUUAUAUUUUUGUAGUUUUGGAUUUAGGGUUUGCAUAUAUGAUAUAUUAUACUGUCCGUUGGAACUUCUCCAGUUCUCCGGAUGGUGAAGAUGCUAACAAAAAAAAGAGGGAUUCAAAUGUAGAGAAAUUUUAAGUGUUCGACUUUAAAAUGAGACAUUCGACUGGGGAUGAUUAACUUUAAGAAGUUGCAGCAGCAGUGGAUUGAAGAAAUCCUCCAAACGGCGACGAUGUGGGAGUAGAGAACGGUGAUGGAGAGAGAUGUCGACGUUGAUGCUGUGGCAGAAGUAGAAGCAGUGUUAAAAGCAACUGGAUCACUCAGAGUUUAAUCCUACAUCUGGAUCACUCCACACCACAAAAUCAUUAUCAUCAGCGUCAUAAGUUUCUCCAGCCCAAAGCUCAUCAUUCUUGCUUGAUCCACGAGACUCCCACAUACUAUAAGGCAAACCAAACAGAAGAGGCUCUUCACCCUCAGAAUCAGAAGAAGAGUACAAAUCUUCAACAUCCGGCCCCAAAAUAUUCAAGGGCUUCAACAUUCAUCCCCUGUCUUCUCAGCUCUCUUAUCUGUCUGAGAUCUCUUGUGUGCCUUCUCAUCAACCUUCUUUCUUUCCUCUCAUUCUUACCUGCAGAUGGCAACAAAAAAUGAUGAAUUCAUAAUAAAGGAUGGAAGCUCAUACUAUAUAUCAGGAAGUGAUAACCCAAACUCAAGCUUGGUUGUAACUCCACUCAAUGGACCAAACUAUCAAACAUGGGUAGUUGAAAUCCAAAGAUCAUUAUCUACCAAAACACAAGUUAGGAUUCAUAAAUGGAUCCAUCAGCAAACCAAACAACAACACAGACAACUAUUUCAUUCCCUGGACCAGGUGCAAUGAUUUAGUCACUGCUUGAAUACUCAACAGUCGUUCAAAAGAAAUCAAAGGCAGUAUCAUUUUUAUAAAGGAUGCCACCACCCUCUGGGAAAACCUUAAACAUAAAUACAUCAGAGUCAACUCACUUGUCAUUUCACAGCUCAAAAGAUAAAUUGCACUAUGUACUCAAGGGAAUGAGUCAGUCAACAAUUAUUAUGCAAAAUUGCAAGGUCUGUGGAAUGAAUUAGACAACAAUCAAAUUUUUGAAUGUUGUGGCAAUUCAAACUGUAUUGCAAAAGAAAACAUGAACAGGCUGAUCAGUUUUACAACUGGUCUGAAUGACACAUUUCUGUCAAUAAGAGGACAGAUACUCAAGAAAAAGAUACCACCAUCUGUGGAUGAUGCUUUUAGAAUGGUACUCCAAGAAAAAACACAAAGGGAGUGCGUAUAUCCUGAGGAAGGGACUGUUUUAGCAACACAAUCCCAAAACAGUUUCACACCCAAAGCAGAAAACCAAAGUGAAGAUUUCAAACCAUAUUGUAUAAGAUGCAAAAAGUACAACCACAACAUAGAAAGUUGUUUUUAUGAAUACGAUUUUCCACCUGGCCAUGGACUUCAUAGGGUGGAUUUCAACAACAAAAAAAGACAACUCUACAAAGUACAAUGGAAAGAAGAACUACAAACCCAACAAAAGAUACAAAGGCAAAUACCAGAGUAAUAAUGCCAACACAGAAGAGAAGACCCAAGUCUUUGAAAACACUCAAGCUCCAAGGAACUUUAUCACCUGAGAAGAGUUGAUCUCCAUACUCUCUCAGGGAGAAAUCAUCAAGGGAAAUCAGCCACAAGCUCACAUGACAAUUGGAAGCUCAUCUGGUAUGUCCCACUCUAACAAUAACACAUGUUUCCACUCACACUAUUCACUAAACACCCCAGCAUGCACCCAAUCACAAAAUGAUUAUUGGAUCAUUGACACAGGGGCAACAGACCAUAUACUAAGACUAUUGUAGUGUCUUCUUUAUUUUUAUUUAUAAACAGAGAGUAGUCUGUUCUGCAUUGUUUGUAUCCAAGGUUGGACAGAGCAUUUGACAGAGUUUGACUCUGGAUGCUUGUUUCAAACCAUAUAAUGAUUUGUUUAAUUUACAAAUAGGGUUAUGUGGUGCAUUCUUAGGUAAUUCUAAUCCCAAUGGGAUCUUCAUGUAUUCCCCCAACACACCUUUAAAUAAUGUUAAAACCUUAUUGUAUCCAAUAAACAUCCACCUUCUAAACUCUCAAACCACUAAAAUUUCUGUUAGUGGCUCCACACAAAUUACAAAAGACAUUAUACUAAACAAUGUCUUAAAAUCCCAUCAUUUUCAGUCAAUCUACUAUCUGUAAGUCAACUUAUAAAAGAUAUGAAAUGUUCAUUCACCUUUUACCCUAUUUUCUGUUCCAUAUACAGGACCAACAGGGAAACCAGAUUGGUUUGGGUGAGAAAAAGAAUGGAUUCUACAUCCUAAAACAAGAUUAUCAGGCCAACCAUAACCAACAGAAGGAGACAAAGGAUGAAGAGAUUUGACAUCAAAGAUUAGGACACCCUGCAUCAUCUAGAUUUUAUCAUCUGAACAUCAUAAAUAAAUGUAUUCCAAAGAAUUUCACAAAAUUUUGUAAUACAUGUCCACUGUCUAAACAGACAAGACUCCUUUUUUCUUUAAGUUCAGACAAAACAACAAGAUGUUUUCAGUUGCUACAUUUAGAUAUAUGAGGAAAAUUUCAUAAACCCACACACCAAGGAAAUAACUAUUUUCUAGCCAUAGUAGAUGACUACUCAAUAGAAACUUGGGUAUUCCUAAUGACAAAUAAAACUGAAACAACCACUAAAUUCAAAAAAAUUUAAUCAAUAUCAAAAACCAACACCAAACCACUAUUCAUAUCAUAAGGUCAGACAAUGGAAUAGAAUUCUUAUCCAAAGAAUUCCAAAACAUACUGAAAUAAGAUGGAAUAGUCCAUCAACUAUCAUGCUCAUAUAUAUACUCUAUAACAAAAUAGGAGAGUUGAAAGAAAACAUUAACAUAUAUUACAAGUAGUUAGGUUACUAAUGAUCCGGCCAGUCCAACAUUUCUUUAAAAUUUUGGGGAGAAUGCAUUCUAACAACUGUUUUCCUAAUAAAUAGAACUUCAGCUGUUGUACUAAACAAUGAUACUCCAUUUUUUUAACUUUUUAAGGAACAACCAAAUCUAGACAUCCUAAAAAAUUUUGUCUGUCUAUGCUAUGCUACAAACAACAAAACAAAAUCAAAAUUCGAAAAUAGAUGUAUAAAAAAAAUAUUCAUUAGAUACUCCUUUCAAAGAAAAUGAUAUAACAUAUUAGAUCCAUCCACCUAAAAAAUCUUCACCAACAGAGAUGUAACCUUAUUUGAAAAAAUAUUUCCCUUCAAAGAAGAACCAAAACAAUACCAAGAAGAUUUUUUUUGAUGAAAACACACCAGAAACAGAAAAUACACAAAAACAAAACACAUACACAAUAAUACGUUCUUCACAAGAAGAACAUAUUGAAAAAACACAACAUGAAAUAAGAGGAACACCAAGUACUUUAGAAAACAGUAGACCAAAAAGGAAGAGAAAAACACCAUCAUAUUUAAAAGAUUUUUCUCUACAACUAGCAACGAUUAGAUAUUCCAUAGAAAACAUGUUAUCUUACAAAAACUUCACCCCUGAACACUCUGCAUUACUAGCAACAAUAAAAAACAAUAUAGAUCCAACCCCUUAUAAAGAAGCAUCCAAACACACAAAAUGGAAUAAUGUCAUGCAACAAGAGCUACAAGCUUUUGAAAAUAAGAAAACAUAGAUUAUCACAAGCAUGCCCAAAGACAAAAAAUCCAUUGGCUGUAAAUGGGUUUAUAAAACCAAAUUUAACAGUGAUGGAAGCAUCGAAAAAUACAAAACAAGACUAGUGGCAAAAGGUUACAACCAAAUCGAAGGCAUUGACUUCACAAAGACAUUUGCCUCUGUCUCUAAAAUGACAACCUUAAAGAUUGUCCUAGCUGUUGCAGUAUCACAAAAAUGAAACAUGAAUCAAAUGAAUGUCCAAAAUGCAUUCUUACAUGAAAAUCUAGAAGAGACUAUCUACAUGAAGAUCCCAUUGGGAUUAGAAUUACCUAAGAAUGCACCACAUAACCCUAUUUGUAAAUUAAACAAAUCAUUAUAUGGUUUGAAACAAGCAUCCAGAGUUUGGUAUCAAAUUAUGUCAAAUGCUCUGUCCAACCUUAGAUACAAACAAUGCAGAACAGACUACUCUCUGUUUAUAAAUAAAAAUAAACAAGACACUACAAUAAUCUUAACAUAUGUUGAUGAUCUACUAAUCACAGACAACAACAUAAACAAAAUAAAAACACUAAAGAAAAAUCUACAAGGUAAAGACCUUGGAGAACUCAAGUAUUUUAUAAAACUUGAAUUUACCAAAACACCAAAUGACCUAUACAUUGGUCAAAGAAAAUACACACUAGAUUUACUAGAAAAAUACAAACUCACACAAUGCAAACCAAACAAAACACCAAAUAAUCACAAAUAAAUAUUUAACCACAAAACAAACAAGUUUACUGAAUUCCCUACCAAUAAUAACACAUAACAAAUCUCCAAUGUAAUCAAACAAAACAAAAAAAUGAAAUUUUAUUACAAGACCCACAAAAAUAUAGAAGCAUAGUUGGGAAACUAGUAUACCUAACAUGCACAAGACCAGACAUAUCUUAUGUUGUAACCUAUCUAAGCCAACACAUGGCAACACCAGCAGAAUCACAAAUGAAGGCAGCAUACAGAGUUCUAAGAUACAUUAAAGGAUCACCUGGAUUAGGAUUACAUUUUUCAUCAGGCUCCUCAAUAGACCACAUUGGAGCCUUCACAGACUCUGAUUGGGCAAGUUGCCCGACCACCAAACGAUCAACAUCCGAAUUUGCCAUAUUCCUAGGAUCGUCUCUAAUAUCAUGGAAAUAAAAAAAAACAAAUAAUAUCAAGAUCAUCAGCAGAGGCUGAAUACCGUGCACUAGCCUAUACUACAUGUGAAAUAACAUGGUUAAAAAUGCUGCUAUAAGAAAUAGGAGUUUACCAGAUUGGAAAAUCACCGACUCCUAGAGUGUUCACCGACAGCACCGCGGCAGAGGCAAUAGCAAGAAACCCUAUCUCCCACCAAAUAACCAAACACAUAGAGAUUGAUCUCCACACGGUGAGGGACAAGGUUUUAGCGGGAGAUAUUACACUAAAAUACGUCUUCAGUGCACAAAACAUUGGUGAUAUUUUCACCAAACCCCUAAGAGGUCCGACUUUUCGAAAUUUAAUCCAGAAGUGUGACUCCUCGACAUCCACAAACAAAAUUCAAACCCAGUUAAUUGAUUACAACACCCUAUUGCGCCUACAUAUUCAAAUCAAACCAGUUUUGAUUUGAGGGAGGAUAUUAGAAAUAUAACCCCGCAAGAAUUAUAAAUAUUAAAUAUACCCUUAUUGUAAAUAUCAAUCUCAGAACCUUGAGAUUCAUAGAUAUCAAACAUACAUCAUAUUAAGUAUAUUUAUUUUAACUUCAUAUUCAAUAUUAACUUCUCACAUUCCUUUUUAAAAAUUCUCAUAGAUAAUUAAUUCCAUAUCCAACACAUUUAAUUUCAUAUUAGUAAUCAAUAUUAAGCACCAACAUAGCCGUUGGGUGUUUACUAUUUAAGCCUACCCACACCUUCAUCACAAGUACGUUUUUACACUCUAUAAUCACCAUACACAUAUCGCUGAUCAUUUUCAACACACUUAUUUGCUCUAUACUUCCGCAUCACAACUCAAUUGGAACUUCAUCAAACCUGCAAAUCGUCCGUUGGAUUAUCGAGCUAUCUUUCAAUCAAUCGAUCAUCAAGCAGUAUCAUUAUUGUUUAUAUACUUAAGUAUUACAUAUUCCAUUCAAUCAUUCAUAACAUUGCUUAAGUAUUAUACACAUAUAUAUAGGGCAAGCAUCAGGUGUGCCAUAUAUGUAUCAUUCGUUGUAGACCGUCGGAUGACUCAUCCUACGGUCAGCAGAAAUACCUCGAGAUCCUAGCCACCAUUGUACAUCAUUCAGUUGUUAAUGUAUGAUACCAUCAUAUCCAUUAAUUUACUCAUCAUACGUUCCACAAGAAACGACAGAUAAAUGGCACACCUGGAAAUGGCACACCUGAUACAAUUCCUAUAUAUAUAAUUGUUUAAUUAUAUAAACCAUUCCAAAACUCUAUCAAAAAGUAACGAACAACCCGACGAUCCUUGUGAUUGCGAUGGACCGGACGUUCCAAAUAGAUUCCCAGUUGAGAGAGAGGAGAAAAGAUUGCCACCUAAGGCGGAAUGAAGCAAAGUUGGAUGUAGAACCAAACCUGAAUGGUGAAGAAGACGCCGUCGUUUCCGUAGUCAUCGACGAAGAAACAGUACUAGUGUCACUACUCGCAAUGCCGAAGGAGAAAGACGACGUCAUCUCCGUCGAGCAGUUAGUUAUUCCGUUGCAGAUUUCUGAAAUUCAGAUCGAAGAGAUUUAUGGGUUUUAUACGGGUUUUAUAAACCGGAUCUAAACUAAAACCCGAAUAAAAUUCUUAUCUCUUAGUCCACUUUCCAGUUCCCUUCAGGCUUUUCCAUUUCUUGUUUAUCGACCGA